UGCCAGCAGCCGCGGUAAUACGAAGGUGGCAACCGUUGUUCGGAAUCACUAGGCAUAAAGAGCACGUAGGCGGAUUCAUAAGUCGGGUGUGAAAUCCCUCGGCCUAACCGAGGAACUGCGCCCGAUACUAUGAGUCUUGAGGGCAGGAGGGGAGCGUGGAAUUCCUGGUGGAGCGGUGAAAUGCGUUGAUAUCAGGAGGAACACCGGCGGCGAAGGCGACGCUCUGGCCUGCUUCUGACGCUGAGGUGCGAAAGCCAGGGGAGCAAACGGGAUUAGAUA
rnacentral:rRNA from 1 species